UACGUAGGUGGCAAGCGUUGUCCGGAUUUACUGGGCGUAAAGAGCGCGCAGGCGGUCGUUCAAGUCGCGUGUGAAAGCCCCCGGCUCAACUGGGGGAGGGUCACGCGAUACUGAUCGACUCGAAGGCAGGAGAGGGAAGUGGAAUUCCCGGUGUAGUGGUGAAUGCGUAGAUAUCGGGGAGGAACACCAGUGGCGAAGGCGACUUCCUGGCCUGUUCGUUGACGC
rnacentral:rRNA from 1 species